AUUGAACGCUGGCGGCAGGCUUAACACAUGCAAGUCGAACGAGUGGCGGACGGGUGAGUAAUGUCUGGGAAACUUCCUGAUGGAGGGGGAUAACUACGGGAAACGGUAGCUAAUACCGCUUACCAUCGGAUGGGCCCAGUUGGGAUUAGGUAGUUGGUGGGGUAAAGGCUCACCAAGGCGACGAUCCCUAGCUGGUCUGAGAGGAUGACCAGCCACACUGGAACUGAGACACGGUCCAGACUCCUACGUGAGGCAGCAGGGGGGAAUAUUGCGCAAUGGGGGCAAGCCUGACGCAGCCAUGCCGCGUGAAUGAAGAAGGCCUUCGGGUGGUAAAGUGCUUUCGGCAGGGAGGCGUUAACCGCAGAAGAAGCACCGGCUAACUCCGUGCCAGCAGCCGCGGUAAUAC
rnacentral:rRNA from 1 species